rnacentral:lncRNA from 1 species
CUCGUUAUUAUCAAAAUUAAAAAAGAAGUUUAAAAAAAAAAAAAAAGUAGAAAUGAAAAUGAAGAGGCUCAGAUCUGUUUGUAAAUAGGCAAAGAGAAUAGGGCCACGCCAUGGCUGCAAAAUAACCCGGUUGCAUACGAUGAUUAAUCGCAGCCAUCCGGGUUGCCCCGCCAAGAUACGGGCCGGGUAUUCUCAAAGCCAGAUCCAUCAAUCAGCUCAGAAGGAACCCUAGAAAUUAAUCAUCACUGCCUCUGUAUACAUCGAACAAUCAAAAGCUUUUGCAAAACACCACCACCGUUCAAAAAUACACACACACACACACAAACGAGGGCUCGUUUGGCUAAACAUUAUUAGUAUUAUUAUUAUUUUUUUUCUUUAAAGGGCUGUUGGCAUUGUGAAGAAGAAAUCACUGGGUUUAGAGAGAGAAAGAGGCAACCACCCUUGAGGAAUUCCCAAACCCUAACCCUCAUUCUUUUCCUUCUGAGCUGAUUUUGUAUUUUGGGGAUUUCAGGCGUUGAUGUGUUUUAUACAUAUGAACUGAACUGUAUUGG